GACGAACGCUGGCGGCGUGCUUAACACAUGCAAGUCGAACGGAAAGGCCCUGCUUUUGUGGGGUGCUCGAGUGGCGAACGGGUGAGUAACACGUGAGUAACCUGCCCUUGACUUUGGGAUAACUUCAGGAAACUGGGGCUAAUACCGGAUAGGAGCUCCUGCUGCAUGGUGGGGGUUGGAAAGUUUCGGCGGUUGGGGAUGGACUCGCGGCUUAUCAGCUUGUUGGUGGGGUAGUGGCUUACCAAGGCUUUGACGGGUAGCCGGCCUGAGAGGGUGACCGGGCAAAAUGGGAAUUGGGUAAGGGCCAGAACUCUAAGGGGGGGCAGAGGUGGGAAAAAUGGAAAAAGGGCGGAAGGCUGGAGGAGGAAAGGCGGGGUGGGGAAGAAGGGCUUUCGGGUGGAAACCGCUUUCGCCUGUGACGAAGCGUGAGUGACGGUAAUGGGUAAAGAAGCACCGGCUAACUACGUG
rnacentral:rRNA from 1 species